UUCGUUGGAGGAUAGUGGGAAUGAUGUUGAUGAGGAAGAGGAAGCCAUGUCAGCCCACUUCUGUUUGCUUGAUUUAGAUAUUUUACUGGAACAGUCUGCCUGCUUUUUACUUGAUGAGGGUUUUACUGGAGAAUCAGAAUCUGUUGAAAGAUGCUGAAGCAUUUCUUGACAGAUUCUUCUAUACUCAUCUGGAGUUUUAGCAGCAGCUAACCUUGCUUGGCACUGUGCUUUUUGGAUUCCGAAAGUCGGUUGAUCUUUUAGUGCAAGAGUGGUUGCAUAGGUUAAUGGAGAAACCUGUUUUAAUUUAUCACGUAUCCAGAGAUCAAUUUUAAGUUCCGUGGU
rnacentral:lncRNA from 1 species